rnacentral:lncRNA from 1 species
GGAUUCCUUGGGAUGCUCCUUCAAUAUGAAGCAAGCCCUGAAGAGACAGAAGGAUGGCUUGACCCUGAGGAGAAGGCAGUGGAUUAGAAAGGCUAAAAUCUAACGCCACAAGUUCAACACUAUACUGCAGGGGCUUAUUUGAUAUGUGUUAAGUAAUUCUACAACUAAAUAGUGAAAAGGUAACCUAAGGCCGUUCUUCAAAGAUUCCUCAUAAAGGCCAACCUCACCUU